AUUGAACGCUGGCGGCAGGCCUAACACAUGCAAGUCGAACGAGUGGCGGACGGGUGAGUAAUGUCUGGGACACUGCCUGGUGGAGGGGGAUAACUUCUGGAAACGGUAGCUAAUACCGCAUACCAUCGGAUGUGCCCAGAGGGGAUUAGCUAGUAGGUGGGGGAAAGGCUCACCUUGGCGACGAUCCCUAGCUGGUCUGAGAGGAGGACCAGCCACACUGGAACUGAGACACGGUCCAGACUCCUACGGGAGGCAGCAGUGGGGAAUAUUGCACAAUGGGCGCAAGCCUGAUGCAGCCAUGCCGCGUGUAUGAAGAAGGCCUUCGGGUUGUAAAGUACUUUCAGCGGGGAGGCGUUACCCGCAGAAGAAGCACCGGCUAACUCCGUGCCAGCAGCCGCGGUAAUUC
rnacentral:rRNA from 1 species